GACGAACGCUGGCGGCGUGCUUAACACAUGCAAGUCGAACGGAAAGGCCCUGCUUUUGUGGGGUGCUCGAGUGGCGAACGGGUGAGUAACACGUGAGUAACCUGCCCUUGACUUUGGGAUAACUUCAGGAAACUGGGGCUAAUACCGGAUAGGAGCUCCUGCUGCAUGGUGGGGGUUGGAAAGUGUCGGCGGUUGGGGAUGGAUUCGAGGCUUAUCAGCUUGUUGGUGGGGUAGUGGCUUACCACGGCUGUGACGGGUAGCCGGCCUGAGAGGGGGACCGGCCACAAUGGGACUGAGAUACGGACCAGACUCCUACGGGAGGCAGCAGUGGGGAAUAUUGCACAAUGGGCGGAAGCCUGAUGCAGCAACGCCGCGUGCGGGAUGACGGCCUUCGGGUUGUAAACCGCUUUCGCCUGUGACGAAGCGUGAGUGACGGUAAUGGGUAAAGAAGCACCGGCUAACUACGUG
rnacentral:rRNA from 1 species